GACGAAGGAUGCAAGCGUUAUCCGGAUUCAUUGGGUUUAAAGGGUGCGUAGGCGGCCAGAUAAGUCAGUGGUGAAAGCCCGGAGCUCAACUUCGGAACUGCCAUUGAUACUGAUAGACUUGAGUACAGAUGAAGUGGGCGGAAUGUGACAAGUAGCGGUGAAAUGCUUAGAUAUGUCACAGAACACCGAUUGCGAAGGCAGCUCACUAAAGUGUAACUGACGCUGAGGCACGAAAGCGUGGGGAUCAAACAGG
rnacentral:rRNA from 1 species